UUGAUAUGAACUAGCAAAGUCUUGCCAUUUGUUGAGCGCAAGCCUGUUCCCUUCAGCUCCUAGAAUUCUACGACGAAUCCCUAAGAGAACUUGGGAAGAAUAAUUAUUUAAUAUCAAAUCAAAUAAGAAAACAUUUAAAUCAGGAAGCACACAUGGGAAGAAGCUGGCGAACGAGCGCACUUCUGACAAAUCAAACAUACGGAGCCUUGUGAUUUCUAUGAGAGCAGUGACCUCUGGGAGCCCCCCGUGGCCCGCGUUGGCACAGGUUCUCCAGUGACGAAGACUGUUCUUUUUCCUCUAUACCGUUUUUGAUUUUUCCAUCAGCAGUGUUAAACUUUGUACUGUUGUUUUGCACUGAACUCACCAAACUACUUCAGACUUUUACAGCAAAGCAAGAGAUGGGUUCUGACUUAAUCAUUGCUCUUUUAACAGCUCCCGUGCUCUGUGCUAACAGAGCCCUUUGCUCCCUCUGCAUGCUCACACCAAGAAAGACUAGUUUGUGUUGUUUAUUUGGAUGUUUAUUGGGGAUUUGUAUUCCUUUCAAGAGAAGCGACCUCUAAUACCCCUUUCCCCCCAAUUACUCAGUCUAGAAGCCAAUGCGCUCUAGAAGUAAACUUGGGUAUUUCUAAAAAUCCAA